rnacentral:rRNA from 1 species
GAUGAACGCUGGCGGCGUGCCUAAUACAUGCAAGUCGAGCGAACGGACGAGAAGCUUGCUUCUCUGAUGUUAGCGGCGGACGGGUGAGUAACACGUGGAUAACCUACCUAUAAGACUGGGAUAACUUCGGGAAACCGGAGCUAAUACCGGAUGAUAUUUUGAACCGCAUGGUUCAAAAGUGAAAGACGGUCUUGCUGUCACUUAUAGAUGGAUCCGCGCUGCAUUAGCUAGUUGGUAAGGUAACGGCUUACCAAGGCAACGAUGCAUAGCCGACCUGAGAGGGUGAUCGGCCACACUGGAACUGAGACACGGUCCAGACUCCUACGGGAGGCAGCAGUAGGGAAUCUUCCGCAAUGGGCGAAAGCCUGACGGAGCAACGCCGCGUGAGUGAUGAAGGUCUUCGGAUCGUAAAACUCUGUUAUUAGGGAAGAACAUAUGUGUAAGUAACUGUGCACAUCUUGACGGUACCUAAUCAGAAAGCCACGGCUAACUACGUGCCAGCAGCCGCGGUAAUACGUAGGUGGCAAGCGUUAUCCGGAAUUAUUGGGCGUAAAGCGCGCGUAGGCGGUUUUUUAAGUCUGAUGUGAAAGCCCACGGCUCAACCGUGGAGGGUCAUUGGAAACUGGAAAACUUGAGUGCAGAAGAGGAAAGUGGAAUUCCAUGUGUAGCGGUGAAAUGCGCAGAGAUAUGGAGGAACACCAGUGGCGAAGGCGACUUUCUGGUCUGUAACUGACGCUGAUGUGCGAAAGCGUGGGGAUCAAACAGGAUUAGAUACCCUGGUAGUCCACGCCGUAAACGAUGAGUGCUAAGUGUUAGGGGGUUUCCGCCCCUUAGUGCUGCAGCUAACGCAUUAAGUACUCCGCCUGGGGAGUACGACCGCAAGGUUGAAACUCAAAGGAAUUGACGGGGACCCGCACAAGCGGUGGAGCAUGUGGUUUAAUUCGAAGCAACGCGAAGAACCUUACCAAAUCUUGACAUCCUUUGACAACUCUAGAGAUAGAGCCUUCCCCUUCGGGGGACAAAGUGACAGGUGGUGCAUGGUUGUCGUCAGCUCGUGUCGUGAGAUGUUGGGUUAAGUCUCGCAACGAGCGCAACCCUUAAGCUUAGUUGCCAUCAUUAAGUUGGGCACUCUAAGUUGACUGCCGGUGACAAACCGGAGGAAGGUGGGGAUGACGUCAAAUCAUCAUGCCCCUUAUGAUUUGGGCUACACACGUGCUACAAUGGACAAUACAAAGGGCAGCGAAACCGCGAGGUCAAGCAAAUCCCAUAAAGUUGUUCUCAGUUCGGAUUGUAGUCUGCAACUCGACUACAUGAAGCUGGAAUCGCUAGUAAUCGUAGAUCAGCAUGCUACGGUGAAUACGUUCCCGGGUCU